UAUGCUUUUUGAAAUGCACGAGGUUUAGUGAGAGCUGUUCGCUUUUGGUAUGCUUCUCUUGGUGGAUAGAUCGUGGUCAAAACUAAGAUACUUGAAGGUGUUUUAAAGGCUAAACCAUCGUAGCUCAAAUCGUUGGGAAAUUACUUUUCAUGGCUGAGAAUUUACCAACUGAGGCCCAAGCCCAACCAUUGAGGACCAGACCCUUUUAUUUUUAGAAAAUCAAGACAAAAAGAGGCCACCACAAAAAUGGGCAUAACUUUUGCUAGAAGGCUCCGUUUUGGACGUGUGACCAGUCAAAACGACCGCAGAAACGAGGCGCAUCAAGUUGCAAAUGCCAAA